AGGAGGAGAAAAAGAAGGAGAAGGAGGAGGAAGAGGAGAAGGAGAAGAGAAAAAGGAGGAGAAGGAGAAGGAGAAGGAGAAGGAGAAGGAGAAGGAGAAGGAGAAGGAGAAGGAGAAGGAGAAGGAGAAGGAGAAGGAGAAGGAGAAGGAGAAGGAGAAACAAACCCAGUGAAUCACCAAUUGUAUCUGACUGCCAAGGUUGAACGGAUGAACUUGGAUCAUGACAAGAUUCUGAGGACAAUGUAUGGGCCAAAGAUACAAAUGGAUGCCAUGGAGGAACUGAAGAGAGCUCGAGACAUUGGAAGACGCAUUAUAAAUGCCUCAGACAGAAGGUGAAGAACAGAGACCAGAAACGAUCCUAACUGGACAUGGAUCCUCAGACUUAGACUAAGUUUUAAGACAGUAGAUAAAGUUUGGCUACACUGUGGUUGUGACUCUUUCCUUUCCACCGCUGAUUCCCCACGUUCAUUCUUGACACAAGUAAGGCUUUGAAUCAUACACUGAAAAUCACAACAAAGACUCAAAGAGGUGGGUGAGGAGAGCAUGCCCAGGAAGCACGUUCUUGCCUUUCAGUCCCGUUUUCCGGCUGCAUUACAGCCACUCAUUGCAGAGAAGAAACAAUCAUUCUGCAGCAAAUGAACAGAAAGAGUAUUCAUGGUUUUCUACAAGGUGGC
rnacentral:lncRNA from 1 species